GCGCAAGGGGUUUUCGUUGGUUCCUGCAUUUCGCAGGCGAAGAGGGAAUGUGACAGGCUUUGGGAUCUUGAUGGAUCCGGGCCAAGAGCACAGCCGCCCCCGCGACCGUGACCGGAAAGGUCUCUGAUGCCACUGGAACUGUGCUUGCCACAGUCCGGGAAGGUAGGAGCACCGCCAAGGGGAAGAUCCUCUUGAAAUCCGCAAGCCGGGAGACCUGCCAACGGUUGAGACAACGG
rfam:Roseobacter sp. MedPE-SWchi Roseobacter-sp-MedPE-SWchi-C8, whole genome shotgun sequence.